rnacentral:rRNA from 1 species
UACAGAGGGUGCAAGCGUUGUUCGGAAUUACUGGGCGUAAAGCGCGUGUAGGCGGUUUGGUAAGUUCUGUGUGAAAGCCCUGGGCUCAACCCAGGAAGUGCGCAGAAUACUGCUCGACUGGAGUGACGGAGAGGAUGGCGGAAUUCCCGGUGUAGAGGUGAAAUUCGUAGAUAUCGGGAGGAACACCUGUGGCGAAGGCGGCCAUCUGGACGUCAACUGACGCUGAGACGCGAAAGCAUGGGGAGCAAACAGG